ACUCCUACGGGAGGCAGCAGUGGGGAAUAUUGCACAAUGGGGGAAACCCUGAUGCAGCCAUGCCGCGUGUGUGAAGAAGGCCUUCGGUUGUAAAGCACUUUCUAGUAGGGAGGAAGGUAGUGUAGUUAACACCUGCACUAUUUGACGUUACCUACAGAAGAAGCACCGGCUAACUCCGUGCCAGCAGCCGCGGUAAUACGGAGGGUGCGAGCGUUAAUCGGAAUUACUGGGCGUAAAGCGCAUGCAGGCGGCCUGUUAAGUCAGAUGUGAAAGCCCGGGGCUUAACCUCGGAAUUGCAUUUGAAACUGGCAGGCUAGAGUCUUGUAGAGGGGGGUAGAAUUUCAGGUGUAGCGGUGAAAUGCGUAGAGAUCUGAAGGAAUACCAGUGGCGAAGGCGGCCCCCUGGACAAAGACUGACGCUCAGAUGCGAAAGCGUGGGGAGCAAACAGGAUUAGAUA
rnacentral:rRNA from 1 species